AUUAUUUGGAUAGUACAGGAAGGAGGUCCAUAUCUGGCUGUCUAUCUUUGGUCAUUUUUGUUUGUCCUUUCUCUUGUGAUGAUGACAAUUUACCCUAUUUUGAUAGCUCCACUCUUUAACAAUUUCACCCCUCUUCCUGAUGGAGAGCUCAGGCUUAAGAUUGAGAAGCUUGCUUCCUCCCUCAAUUUUCCUUUAAAGAAAUUGUUUUGUUGUUGAUGGAUCCACAA